rnacentral:lncRNA from 1 species
AAUACAGGCAGAUAGGAACUGUGAAAAAGUGCAAGAAGAGAACUUUAAACAGAAUUACAGUGUUUAGAUUAUCUAACUUAGAUCUCAGCUGUAAAAGAAACAUUCAGCAUUGUGACUGUCAAGUCAGGUCAUUAUAGAGAUAUAGAGGAGACGCAUUUGUGUUUUUGGAAAUUGCGAGACAUUAAAACAAGGUAAGUGAAGAACUAUUUGCAUUUUUUUCAUGGCUNNNNNNNNNNNNNNNNNNNNNNNNNNNNNNNNNNNNNNNNNNNNNNNNNNNNNNNNNNNNNNNNNNNNNNNNNNNNNNNNNNNNNNNNNNNNNNNNNNNNGAACAAAAAUAUAUAUUUUUUUACUUUAUUUGAAUGCACAAUUAAUAUAUUUCUUUGUGAGCUUUUCUUUGCAGUUUUGACAUUAUUAAAAAGCAAAAUGUAAACUGUGAUUUCAACAUUUUAGAACCAGUAUGAGAACCAGUUCCAAACUACUUAUAAUUACUGCAAUGAAAGGUCACAGUAAAGGUUCAUAGUGGUGGUUUUACUCCAAAACAUUUCAGAGCAAUUUCAUUUACAGUUACCUAAUACAUACAUUUCUUUAUCACAUCACCCCUCUUAAUUCCCUCCUUUGAGAGAAUUAAAACACAAAUAUGUCUGUUUUUAGAUAAAAAUAUGUUUUAAAAUGUCACUCACUUAAUACUGCAAUAUAAAAAACAAACAUGUAUUUUAAAAAGUACAGGAAAUCCUAAACUGGCUCAUUUUAGGGAAUAUGGAACUACUAUUUUUUUUACAUUGUUUUAUUCAUACCAUAAAAAUUUGUGAAAACAGCAAGAAUCAGCUGUAAAGUGCCCCAUGCUACCUGCUGUGCACUUAUCUUACACCCCCUCUACACACCAAGGAAUUGAGGUAUCUUAUCUUAUCCACAGAUACAGACCUCCACAACAUCCCCCCUCCACCCUCGUAUCAGUAAAUGGUAGAAAUAAAUAAUAGUGUGAGUUUGUGAGUGUCUAAAUAGGUCUGUAUAUAUUUACAAAUUUAUAUAUUUGUGUGUGGCUAAUUCAUUUGUUCUCUACACAUUGCACAAGUGACUUGUACCAAAAUAUCACUUUAUCAUCGAUAUAUUCUAGGAGACACUCCUUGAGUGAAAAUUAACAUCAUUCAAAAAAUAAUUGGUGAUAUGUUAAUACUAAACCGAGCAGACUCUUUUCAACUUAUGUGACCUUUACUCACUUUGUAAUCAUGGGUUAACAUGGGUUAAUAAGAGCGGAGCAGUUUCAGUCUACUCUCCAAGUGAGUCUAUGUGUGCAUGGGUUAAACACGCUUAAGCUCUAUGGCAUCAUACGAUGAGGUGGCAUAAGACUUUACAAUGACAGCCUGGCAUACAAAUAGAGAUAUGAGAAUGGUUUAUAAAACAAAACUGAAACACGGUGAAAUGGCACAUAGGGCAAGAAAUAUGGCAAUUAAGGUGAAUGCCAUAAACGGAGUGAAAAUUCAAAUGGGGUGAAAUUAAACACAGUGAUGGCAUUAAAGUAUAUGAGAUGAAAUGGCAGAUGUGGGAUUGAAUGGUAGAUGUGGUAAAAUGUAUAUUAUAAUAAGGUUGUUGCUAGAUUCUGAAAUUAUCCAGGCUUGAGCGUAAAGCAAAACGUCAUGUUCUUCAAACAUUAUUCUUGACACCUUAUACUACUUUAUUCUCUACUCCUUAAAUAAAAAAUAAAAAAUGUGUCCUAUAUGCAAUUAUGUAUCAAUUAGUGGUUAUUUCAUGUUAUUUAAUUUUUUUAUAAUUACCAGUUCCAGUCUUAAUAUUCACAGCAGUCCGCUACCCCACUUCAUAUACCCACCAUUCUAUAGUCGUACUACUAUAAUGACCAUUACUCUCUUCUACUUCUGCUAUGCCCAUUGUUCCAUGAUCCUCUAUUCUAUAUCAAUUACUCACUGAUCUCAAUUUCUGUGCCUAUUAUUCUUUGCCCCAUUCAUAUCUAGCUCCUAAAAUGACUCACUUUCCCUUUGUUUAAGGUGUGUUUAAGGUGAUCAUUACCUGUACCCACAUAACUGCCAAUACCUAGUACCCCAUCCUAAGCAACCAUUCCCUCAACCCCUACUAUGACCGCAUUUUACUAGUUCCCCUUUCAAUCAUAUCAGAAAUCUAUAUUCAUAUUAUAUACCUACUAUUCCUUGUCCCUUAAUAGUCAAUACCAUCUACUCUCCCUUGUAUAAGAAGAAUCAUUUGUCAAAUUCCCCCAUCUUCACCUAAUUCUAGAUAGACUAAUUCCUGCUACACAUACACAUUCCUGCUUUUAUAGACUAUUACCCCAAAUCUCUACCAUUCUCAUGCAACUUUAUUAAAGGGAGGGAAAGAGCAGUAAGUUUAAGGACCUAGGAGGUCCAGCCUGUAGGUUUUUUUGAGGGGCCCAAACAGUCUGAUGGCAGCCCUGGCAAGGGCACACCACUGCCCCUAUGAUCAAAAAGUUGAUCUCAGUUGCAGUAUGUUAUCUAUAUGCAGGGCUUAAAUAACAUUUUAAGUCUUAGCCAGGCCUUAGCAAAUGUGAAUUUCUACCCUCCAUGGCGACAUUUUGAGCCCUGAUCAAUUGUAUAGAAACAGAAAUAUGUUGAAUCAUAUAUCAUAAUUAAAGAGACUAAAAUAAUAAACAAAUACAUUUAGUGUAAAGAGAUACAACACACUGCAUUUUCCAAGCAUUUACUGCCAUUCAAUAGGGCCCUUUUAUCUCUGUUAUCUGUUUCUAAUGCUUUUAUCUGUCUCCUGUGAUGGCACUACUUUUUUUCUUCCUGGGAGUAGAAGAUAGAUUGAGGCAGAUAAAAAUGUCAAUGUGCACAGACUAACACACAACAGCAUAACCCUGUUGUGUGUUAUAUUAUUUAUUUAUUUAUAAAAUAUUUUACCAGGAAGGAUACAUUGAGAUUUCUCUCGUUUUCAAGUAUGCCAUGGGUUCAAAAAACAUUGUAUUGAUACAAUAGGGUACAAUAAAAUACAAAAACAAUAUUAAUACACAAUAUAUACAAAAUUUAACAUAGAACAGAUAGGAAAUAUAUAAUCAACCAUGACAGGUGCAUUCUGUUUUGAGGUAUGUAGAGAGGGAUCUCUUAAAAGAUUUUAGGCUUAGGGAAGAUUUGAAAGUGUGCGGGAGGUCGUUCCAUAAUUGAGGUGCUCUGUGGGAAAAGGAGGAUCGAGACACUUUCUUUUUGUAUUGAGGUAGACUAAGUAAAGUGCUGGUACUGGAUCGGAGGUUAUAGGAGGUGGGAAUAGCCGGGGAGAGCAUUCUGCUCAGGUAGGGUAGGAGCUUCCAAGGAAAGCUCUUAAACACAAGGCUGGAAAGAUAAAGGGUGCGUCUGAAUUUCCAGCAACAGCCAGUUUAGUUAUUUUAGAAUGUCACAAUGGUGGGUCCUGUAAUUACAUUGUAGCACAAAGCAGCAGAACGAGUUAUACAAUGUAUUAAGCUUUUUAUUAAGUUUGCGGUGCAGGUGCAUAUACUACAUCCCCAUAAUCAAUAAUUACUGUAGGGUGAAGGCAGGGUUUGUUUCUGUACAGGGCACCUAGUUUUGGAUAAAGUUUAGAUGCAAGUUUUUCUAUGUGGAGGCCAAAAGAUAGACUGGGGUCUAACAACAUACCAAAGUAUUUGAAAGAGUGGACUGCGGUCAGUUUGAUAUUUGAUUUAGUUUUUAUACAUAAAUGGAAAUUUUGUAAUUUGUGUAAUUUAGGUACUGUUCCAAAGAGCAUUGUGACAGUUUUGUCAGUUUUUAGGAAGGAGGUUUUUUUUUUUUGUGAUCCACUUUUCUACCUCUUUGAACUGGUCUUGGAGCACAACCUCAAGCUGCGAUAGACUUGCUUGCAUUGAUUACUGUGUCAUCUGCGUACAUGGGUACAUUUGAGGAUUUGCAGACAUUAGGCAGAUCAUUUAUAAAGUGAAUAGUAGGGGGCCGAGAAUGGAACCCUGGGGAACACCACACGUGACUGGGAGAGGAAGGGAGUCACUGUCAGAAAUGGACACAUAUUGUGAUCGAUUCGAUACAUAUGAUCGAAACCAGGUUAGCGGACGAUCACCAAUACCUGAGUUUUCUAGUUUGUGCCGUAGAAUGUCGUGGUCUACUGUGUCAAAGGCCUUUGCAAAAUCAAGGAAAAUAGCUCCAGUUUGGUAUCCUUGUCCCAUGCCAGUUUGGAUGUCAAACUUUUAAGAGGGCAGUUGUAAUUGAGUGAUUUGGGCAAAAGCCUGAUUGAUCAGGGGUCAGAUAGUUUGAUUGUUGGUAAUACUCACAUAGUUGCAUAUGGACACAUUUUUAUAAGAUUUUUGACAAUACUGGGAGCAAUGAUAUUGGGCGAUAGUUAGAAACCAAAGUAGUGUCACCACUUUUAUGGAUAGGCACCAGGGCCGGACUGGGAAGAAAAUUCGGCCCGGGCAUUUUUUAAUUACAGCGGCCCACUAAAAAGGAGACGGGGCCAGAUAGGGUGUUUAUUGUCAUCACCAAUGACAAGCACGCCCCAUCACACAGUGAGCAUGUUGGUUCAAUGCUCUUCCAGGGUAGACCAUGCGCAAAGCUCUGGUGAAGAGCUAUAGCAUUAGAUAAAAGACCCUGUAUUCGUUCUGCAAAGCGCAAGCAAAUUUAAUAAUAUGCUUGCACUGUGUUUGCUUGAAAUUUGUCUCUGGUGUCUCCAUAGAUGGGAUACCAGGAGUCAAAAAUGCCAGGAAACAGUAUUGUGCAGUGUUUGUAUGUGAGGGGUGUAGUCUGUGUGUGAGGGGUGUAGUGUGUGAGGGUGCUGUGUGUGUGAGGGGUGCAGUGUGUGUGUGCUGUGUUUGAGUGAUGGGUGCUGUGUGCAUGUGAGGAAGCUGUGUGUGAGGGUGCUGUGAGUGUCAGGGGUGCAGUGUGUGUGAGUGAGGGUGCUGUGAGUGUCAGGGGCAUAGUGUGUGACUGAUUGUGCUGUGAGUGUCAGGGGUGCAGUGUAUGUGUGUGAGUGUGGGUGCUGUGAGUGUCAGGGGUACAGUGUGUGUGAGUGGGGGUGCUGUGAGUGUCAGGGGCGCAGUGUGUGUUAUGGGUGUAGUGUGUGUGCAAAAGGAGUGCAGUGUGUGAGGAUGCUGUGUAUGAGGGGUGCAGUGUAUGUGUGUGCUGUGUGUGAGUGAUAGGUGCUGUUUGAGUGAGGGUGCAAUGUGCGUGUGAGGUUGCAGUGUGUGUGAGAGUAAGGGUGCUGUGAGUGUCAGGGGUGCACUGUGUGUUUGAGUAAUCUGUGUGUGUGUUAGGCUGAUGUGUGUGUGCAAGAGGAGUGCAGUGUGUGUGUGUGAGUGUGCUGUGUGUGAGGGGUGCAGUGUGUGAGUGAUGGGUGCUGUGUGUGUGUGCGUGUGAGUGUGCUGUGUCAGGGUGCAGUGUGUGUGUGACAGUGAGGGUGCUGUGAGUGUCAGGGGUGCAGUGUAUGUGUGUGAGUGAGUGUGCCGUGAGUGUCAGGGGUGCAGUGUGUGUGUGCGUGUGAGUGUGCUGUGUCAGGGGUGCAGUAUGUGUGUGUGUGAGUGAGGGUGCUGUGAGUGUCAGGGGUGCAGUGUGUGUGUGAGUGUGCUGUGAGUGUNNNNNNNNNNNNNNNNNNNNNNNNNNNNNNNNNNNNNNNNNNNNNNNNNNNNNNNNNNNNNNNNNNNNNNNNNNNNNNNNNNNNNNNNNNNNNNNNNNNNGUGUGUGUGUGUGUGUGUGUGUGUGUGAGUGAGGGUGCUGUGAGUGUGAGGGGUGCAGGGUGUGUGUGUGAGUGAGGGUGCUGUGAGUGUCAGAGGUGCAGAGUGUGUGUGUGUGUGUGAGUAAGGGUGCUGUGAGUUUCAGGGGUGCAGUGUAUGUGUGUGUGAGUGAGGUUGCUGNNNNNNNNNNNNNNNNNNNNNNNNNNNNNNNNNNNNNNNNNNNNNNNNNNNNNNNNNNNNNNNNNNNNNNNNNNNNNNNNNNNNNNNNNNNNNNNNNNNNGUGACAAGGGAGGGGGGUAGAAGAGAGUGACAAGGAGGGUGGUAGAAGAGAGUGACAAGGGAGGGAGAGGGGGGGAGAAGAGAGUGACAAGUGGGGAGAGAUUGACAUCCAUCACACACACACAAUCACACACAAUGCACCCCUUACACACAAAGACAAUGCACCCCUUGCACACAAUGCAUUACACACACAAUGAAUUAGACACACACACAAGCAAUGCAACCCUUACACACAAUGCAUCCCUUACACACACAGAAACACACAAUGCACCCCUUACACACACUCAAUGCACCCCUUACACACGCACACACUGCAUCCCGUACAUACACAGAAACACACCUUGCAGCCCUUACACAUACAAACACAGAUUCACACAAUGCAUUCCUUACACACAUAUCAGGACAUUCCCUACACACUCCACCCCCUGUGAACAAUUGGUGGAACAUAAAGGUGGACCCUGGGACCCAGACCUUGAGCUGUGUAAAGGUCCCCCAAAAAAUGGAGCUGCUUCCCGUUCUCCCAGAACAUUGAUUUUUGUGACCACAGUUACAAACAGCCUUCAGAGAGCCUGUUCUACACCAGACCAGUGGAGCCAGACUGCAGCUAGCCCAUCAUCAUCCUCAUCUGGUUGUAAGUAGGCAAUCUAGCAUAUUAUUCGUGGCACUAAUCUCUAAUUUACCUCACAUUAAAGAAACACUAUAGUCCCCAGGACCACUGCAGCUUAAUGUAGUGGUUCUGGUGACUAUAGCCUGUCCCUGCAGGUCUUUUAAUGUAAACACGGCGGCACUCCAGCACUGGCGUUAGGUAACAUGGCAAAUCAUAUGGGUGGGGCAUUGUAAUGUCACAUGGGGGGGGGCAUCAAACUUUAAUUUUGCCUAGGUCGGCAUAAAUCCUUGCACCGGCCCUGGCCGGGUGUCACGUGACUACCCGGCGCUCAGUCUGACACUGCACCUGCCGGACGUCCUGCUAUGUCAGGUAAAAGGGGGGACAAAGGUAGAAAAUUAAUUGGAAGGGUUUAGGGGGGCUACUAAUAUGGAUGGGAGGAAUUGCAGGUAGAAAAUAAUUGGAAGGGUUAGGGGGCUACUAUUAAUAGGAUAGGGGUAGAGGGUAGGUAGAAAAAUAAUUGGAAGGGUUUAGGGGCUACUAAUAUGGAUGGGAGGGGGGAGGUAGAAAAAUUAUUGGAAGGGGUUAGGAGAGUACUAAUAUGAAUGGAAGGGGUAGGGUGGUGUAACGGACCGUUUUGCACAAAAGGGGAAAAAAAACGCUUAGACGAUAAUCCCCUUUUCAGAGACAGGCACAGCUACUGUAGAAUCACCAAAACUCACGAACCGCCAAUAAGUGAAUGCUCCAAACUCCCGAACGGCAUACAAGGGAAUAAGGUAGCACUUCAAAUAAGCGAACAGGAACCAUACGAAUAGCUGCUAGCAGGCGAACAGGAAAAGCUUCCAAGCGGCUUACACUCCUGGCAAUCAGUCCUUAGCAGCAUACAGUAAAUCCCCCCAAAGACGAGACAAGGCUCCGUUUUGAGGGUCAAGCAGUGGUCUGUUUAAUGAGGGCUACCUGCCCAGCUUUUAUGCAGGUCUCCCACCUGGUGGACACUCCCCUAGGGGACCAGAUGGAAGACUGUGACAAGGGACAGACAAGUAUACAAAAAGGACACACAGUCACAGUAUAUUCCCACAAUGCAUCCUGGCUUCCUCCCCUCUGCCCUGGGAGAUAAUUGGGAAGUAAUUCAAUUAUCUCCCAAGACAAAGACAAAACUCCAUUACACACGUGGGAACACAAAACAGCAUUAUACUUUAAAAUGCACAAAGUAACAUUUACUACAUUAAACACAGGCAUGUAACACAUCCCCAGAUAGCUCAGGUCUAAGUGCACAUUAUUAGGUGAAUGGCACUCAGACUACACGAAUACAGUUCAAUCGCCAUGGAGCCAAAGUCUUUACAGUCAGUUUCAUACGAAUGGGCUCCAUGGGAUUCCUAUCUGAGGUAUAAGACAUUCACACAAAAAUACCGAACACCGGGUCAUUCGUGUGCUUUCACCGAACAAGAAGGGAGGUCGGCGGCUUCAGCGGUGUUCGCGCAAAACUGUGUUCGAUUUUAGUUCCAUGAAAAUAGAGGCGAACACCGCUGUUCAUUCGUAUGGUUUAAAAUGGCCGCGACCUCGUGUUCGGGAUACGAACGGCGGCCACCCAGCGUUCAUCAAUUAAGCUGCGGUUAACCGCAGCUUCAGGGAGGUUAAUUGCCGGCACACUCCAGCUCCCAGGUGGUCCAGUCAUUUGUACGGUUGUUCGGUAGAUUGAAACUACCGAACAACCGGCAGAAAAGCACGAAUACAGCUUUUCUGCAUGCAAAAAUAAAGUCUUUUAAAAGGGGGCCAUAGUCCAAAGGCAGCAGGCGAGCAACCAGGCUUCUCCAAUGCAAUGUAGCGAGAUUGGUCUCGUCACAUCUCUCCCCUUUUCCAAACAGACUAACAGGGUAUCUGACCUCCUGCCGGUCAGUGCCCUUGUUAGUCCAGCAGCCCACCCACAACAAAUAAUCCACAGCACAGCCCACCCACAAUAAAUGGUUACUACACCUGGGUAGAGAAAAAGCUUGUCCAUGUCCAGGUGCCUCACCACGGCUGUGCUGGGUACGGGUACGCUGACUUGGUGGGUUGCUGCAUGGGCAGAGACCAGCGGCACUCUGCCCUGUUGCCAGCGCUACUGGGAGGGUAGCCCGGUGGAAGCCUGGUUGUUGGAGGGGGAGACCGACUGUCUCCCCUUUAAAUACACCGCUCUGCUGCUGCUGCUGGAGACUGACUGUCUCCCCUUUAGAUGCACAGUCCUGCUGCUGGAGACCGACCGUCUCCCCUUUGGUUACCCAUCUCUGCUGCUGGAGGGGGAGACCGAUUGUCUCCCCUUUGGCUAAACAGCCCUGUCGCUGGGGAGAGGGGGUAACAGGCUCCUCUCCCAAUAUAACCCUCUGCCGCUGGGGAAAGGAGACUGAGCUCUCUAUUCCCUGCCCAUUAAUGAUCUGCCGCUGGGGAGAGGUGGUAGCAAGCUCCUCUCCCAUACCUACUUUCAUCCUCUGUGGAGGGAGACCGACUGUCUCCGCCCCCAAUACAGUGUCCUGCUGCUGGGGAAAGGAGACUGGGCUCUCUAUUCCCGGUAGGACACUCUGCCGCUGGGGAAUGGAGACUGGGCUCCCAAUUCCCUGCAAUUCAUUCUGCUGCUGGGGGACAGGAGCAACUAUCUCUGUCCCCUGUAACUCAGCCUGCCGCUGGGGAAUGGAGACUGGGCUCCCAAUUCCCUGCAAUAUCUCCCGCUGGGGAAUGGAGCUCGAGCUCCCAAUUCCCUGCAAUAUCUCCAUCUGGGGAAUGGAGCUCGGGCUCCCAAUUCCCUGCAAUUUCUCCCGCUGGGGAAUGGAGACUGGGCUCCCAAUUCCCUGCAAUUCACUCUCCCGCUGGGGAAUGGAGCUCGGGCUCCCAAUUCCCUGCAAUAUCUCCCGCUGGGGAAUGGAGCUCGGGCUCCCAAUUCCCUGCAAUUCACUCUGCCGCUGGGGAAUGGAGACUGUGCUCCCAAUUCCCUGCAAUAUCUCCCGCUGGGGAAUGGAGCUCGGGCUCCCAAUUCCCUGCAAUUCACUCUGCCGCUGGGGAAUGGAGACUGGGCUCCCAAUUCCCUGCAAUAUCUCCCGCUGGGGAAUGGAGCUAGGGCUCCCAAUUCCCUGCAAUACACUCUGCCGCUGGGGAAUGGAGACUGGGCUCCCAAUUCCCUGCAGUACCUGUCGCUGGAGUUCUUCCCAACGUGCCAGCUGACCUUCUCUUUCUGCCCGGUGUUGCAGAUUCUUGAACACUAGAUUCCUUAUAAGCUGCACCGAUUUCUCUGGUGGAUUGGGUCCGUAGUACUUCAGCCGCAAUCCCAUCAUAUUGUCAAACUCUCUCCUUGAGUAGCUGUACGCCACUGCUGGUUCCAUGCUGUUGCUGUCAGGGUCGCUGUACUGGGACAUGCGUUGCCCUCAAAUUGUAAAUCCACGGAAUGGUGUCUCCUGUAGCUGUCCUGUAGUCCGUGGGAACGAUCCCACCGCUGCCACCAAUUGUAACGGACCGUUUUGCACAAAAGGGGAAAAAACCGCUUAGACGAUAAUCCCCUUUUUCAGAGACAGGCACAGCUACUGAAUAAUCACCAAAACUCACGAACCGCCAAUAAGUGAAUGCUCCAAACUCCCGAACGGCAUACAAGGGAAUAAGGUAGCACUUCAAAUAAACGAACAGGAACCAUACGAAUAGCUGCUAGCAGGCGAACGGGAAAAGCUUCCAAGCGGCUUACACUCCUGGCAAUCAGUCCUUAGCAGCAUACAGUAAAUCCCCCCAAAGACGAGACAAGGCUCCGUGUUGAGGGUCAAGCAGUGGUCUGUUUAAUGAGGGCUACCUGCCCAGCUUUUAUGCAGGUCUCCCACCUGGUGGACACUCCCCUGGGGGACCAGAUGGAAGACUGUGACAAGGGACAGACAUGUACCAAUUACAGACAUACAGAAGUAAAACAUCCCCACAAUGCAUCCUGGCUUCCUCCCCUCUGCCCUGGGAGAUAAUUGGGAAGUAACUCAAUUAUCUCCCAAGACAAAGGCAAAACUCCAUUACACACGUGGGAACACAAAACCAGCAUAAUACUUUAAAAUGCACAAAGUAACAUUUACUACGUAAAACACAGACAUGUAACACAUCCCCAGAUAGCUCAGGUUUGAGUGCACAUUAUUAGGUGAAUGGCACUCAGACUACACGAAUACAGUUCAAUCGCCAUGGAGCCAAAGUCUUUACAGUCAGUUUCAUACGAAUGGGCUCCAUGGGAUUCCUAUCUGGGGUAUAAGACAUUCACACAAAAAUACCGAACACCGUGUGCUUUCACCGAACAAGAAGGGAGGUCGGCGGCUUCAGCGGUGUUCGCGCAAAACUGUGUCCGAUUUUAGUUCCAUGAAAAUAGAGGCGAACACCGCUGUUCAUUCGUAUGGUUUAAAAUGGCAGCGACCUCGUGUUCGGGAUACGAACGGCGGCCACCCAGCGUUCAUCAAUUAAGCUGCGGUUAACCGCAGCUUCAGGGAGGUUAAUUGCCGGCACACUCCAGCUCCCAGGUGGUCCAGUCAUUCGUACGGUUGUUCGGUAGAUUGAAACUACCGAACAACCGGCAGAAAAGCACGAAUACAGCUUUUCUGCAUGCAAAAAUAAAGUCUUUAAAAAGGGGGCCAUAGUCCAAAGGCAGCAGGCGAGCAACCAGGCUUCUCCAAUGCAAUGUGGCGAGAUUGGUCUCGUCACAGGUGGGUUCUAAUAUGCAUGGAAGGGGUUAGGGGGUACUAAUAUGCAUGGAAGGGGUUAGGGGGUACUAAUAUGCAUGGAAGGGGUAGGGGGGUUAAUAUGCGUGGAAGGGGUAGGUGGGGUUAUUUUGUGCAUGGAAGGGGUAGGGGUGGUUCUAAUAUUCAUGGGAGGGGUAGGGGUGGUUCUAAUAUUCAUGGAAUGGGUAGGUGGGAAUAUGCAUAUUUUUUAAUUUUUUUAAAAUAAUUUUUAGAAUAAUGAUACAGACAUUUUAUUUCUUACAUUUGUGAUGAUUCUUUUUUCCUCUCUAUAUUCAAGGGAAACUAUAGUCACCAGAACCACAACAGCUAAACGUAGUAGUUCUGGUGUCUAUAGCAUGUCUUUGCAGGCUUUUUAAUGUAAGCACUGCCAUUUCGUAAAAAGGCAGUAUUUACAUUACUGCUGAGGAAUAUAAUAUAUUGGACACUCACAUGGCCACUAGAGGUGCUUCCUAGUCGAGACAUGAAUGCCGCUCUAUGAAGUAUCUGCGCAUGUGCGGCAAAGCUGCGCAUGCGCACCAGAGAGCAAUGACGCUUCUGAAUAGAAGCGUCUUAUUGCUCCCUGCUCGCACCCUCCUAUUUUGGCAUUUUGACGAAAUAGGGGGCCUGGCAUCAGGAGGAUCCCGGCGCUGUAUCCGGGUAAGUAAAAUCCCUUCCCUGUAGUGACCCUUUAAUGUUAUUAUUUAAUCAUUUAUAUAGCAACUGCAAAUUCCGUAGCACUGUACAAUGGGAUAAACAACUCCUAGUUUACGGAAUAAGAAUAUACCCGGCGACUAAAAAUGCUAUCCCCCCAGAUUUCUUUUGGUUCCUACGUCCAUGUCUAGUGGCUGUCUCACUUCCGUGAUUCCGCGAUUCUCACUGUGAAAAUCACAGUGAGAAGACACUGACAUCUAUAGGAAAGCAUUGAGUAAUGCUUUCCUAUGGGCGGUUUGAAUGCACGCGUGGCUCUUGCCUCGCAUACGCAUUCGGAUUUGACGUUGGCAGGGGGUGGAGAGUUCCUCAGCACAGAGGGAGAAAGAUAAGUGGCUGAAGUGGUUUUAACCCCUUCAGCCCAGCAAGAGGGGGGGCCUGUGGGUGGAGGGCACCUAAUGACCCUACGAGUUUGUUUUCCUGGCACUAUAGUGCUCAGGAAAAACAAAUUAGGAGAACCAAAAUAAUGUAAAAAUUAGUCAGUCAGUGUACUGCAAAAUAUACAUAUUUGGUUCACAGCUCAAGUGAGAAGAAGUAACCAAGAGGAGAAUAAGAGGAGUAGUAAUAUACCAAACAUGUAUUGUAUAGUUAUUAAAUACAUAAUAUUGUUUUGUGUUCCUUAUUUUCCUAAUAUCGGUCACUUUUCACUUGACCUUUGAAUAAAAUCAACAUUUAAUGGCUGUGCCUAGAUCAAUCCUUUUUUGUGUGCUGCAGACGGAACUCUGAAUCACGAAAGAAACAAAACUGUUUUGUCCAUUGAACUUUUCAUUAUUCAUCCAUAUAGCAUUUCAGAGUUUGGUAUUUUAGACUAAUCGCUGAUCUCCCAAAAUCUGGAUAAAUCGCAAUUUGUUUGAAACUGAAUUGCCAUGUCUAAUGACUAUUUAAUGAUAGUCUAAUUUACUAAAUGCAUGGAUUAAGAAGAUACAAAUAACCCCUUGUUUUCAAUAGUGAAAAAUGGUGACUGAAUACUAUAGUCAAUAUAGCCGCCUAUAAGAACAGGUUGGACUGGUUCAACCUACUGCUAGUCUAUAUUUUGUUUAACUAUAUCCAUAUUCUCUUUCAACUGUAAGCUUGAAUAACCAAUACAUUGUUUUACUCUUGUUCACCUGAACCUGUAACUAAGUCACAACUUUGUUCUUUUGAGUAUUUUACCCUUUUAAGGGCAGACAUUCUAUGCCAUUCUGGCUGGGGCGGUCCUAAACAACGCAGGGCAGCAUAGAAUGUCCCAGCUGUCCUUUAUACUUACUGGGUCUGGGCCGAUCACAUGCCGGUUGUCUUGAUCCUGGGGACUGCCUGGAAGCCCAGACAGUCCUCCUAUGGCAGGAUCGGCCCUCCCGGGUCAUGUUGUUAUGGGGUCCUCACGGUCACAUUGCCUGAAUGGCUGUCUGCAGCUCUGCCUGAGCUCUCAGAUUGGUUAUAUUGUAUUUGAGACUAUAUGGUAGCCCAGAAAUGAGAAUUACCACCAUUAUGGAAUACCAUUUGCAAAUUUAGACAAAUGUAGACCAAAGGUAUUGCAAAUGGGGUAUGUCCAAUCUUUUUCAGUAGCCACUUAGUCACAAACACUGGCCAAAAUUCAAAUGAGGUUUUUGCAUUUUUCACACACACAAACAAAUAAGGAUGGUAACUUUGGCCAGUGUUUAUAACUAAGUGGCUACGAAAAAGACUGACCAUACCCCAUUUGCAAUACCUUUGGUCUACAUUUGUCUAAAUUUGCAAAUGGUAUGCUGUCAUGGGGGUAAUUCUCAUUCCUGGGCUACCAUACGGUCUCAAGGUCAACAUAACCAAUCUGGCAAAUUUAUAUGUGUAUAAACGAACACAUAUAACUAUGUGAAAUGUAAAAAUGUGCUAUAUUUUUAACUUUCCAAAACGCCAUAAAACUUGUACAGCAGUUUUACUUGUGAGACAUUGCUGAAUACAAUUUUUUUUUAUUUUAUUUUUUUUAGUAAAAGCUAACCGUAUUAUGACAUUCACAGUUAAAAUGCCAUGCAGAACUAAAAAAAAAUCAAAUUUUUUGAUUUCUCACAUUUUUUAACAUUUUAUUCAUAUUAAAUUCUGUUUUGCAUAAAAUAAAAGCCCUGUUUCUCAUGAACAAAUUUGUACAUUAUAUGCGUGUACUUAAUAUGAAAUAGGUGACUUAUGGUUGUACAGACAGUCAAAUUCCAGGUUUUGUUUACAUUUUGUUUUGAUCAGAACUUGUACAAUUGCCUCCGUCCUUAAGGGGUUAAUACUUUCUAAAUUAAUUAUAGCAAAUAUUGAUUCAAUAGAAUAUGCAUAUGUUGUAAAGCUCCCCAGAGUGAAACCACAAAACUUGUCCUGCUCCAAUUUAGCCUGCCUAUUAUUCUACAAAUUCGGAUUACAUUUUGUUGCUCUGUAUAUAGUUUAUUUGAUAAGAAGCUUUCCUCUUGACAUCCUUAUGUUAACAUUAUCCAACAACGAUUUUUGGUAUGGUAUGUAUUUAUUUUCAUAUAAUUCACAUUACAUGUCUCGGUUGUCAAUUUUUCUAGGGGCAAAAACCCCCCCCCCCAAAAAAAAAAAGAAAAAACAUUUAUCAACUGUAUUGAGGAUAUGACACAAUUUAGAAUUGUAUAACAAAUACCAGUGAGCCUUGUUAGUAACUCCUCCCUUUCUGAAUCCUUUCCACACUCAAAACAUCCCCCAACAAAGUUUUGAAAUACUUUCAAAUAUACAGAGAAAUACAGGAGAACCAAAACACACUCUGAUACAAAGAGUUUUAACUAAACUAAAGUAAGUGCAAAAUACGGUUAGAUCUCAGCUGUACAAAAAACAUUCUUUUGCUCAAGUCUUGUCGCUAUAGAGAUACAUAGAAGUUGCUUUUGCUUGGGGACUUAAAAUUCAGAACCAUCAAACAAGGUACGUGGAAAAGAAAUGUAAAUGUUACUUUUAGACAGUGUGAAUACACAAUAUAUUUUCUGAUGUAUUUUGUAGUUUUGAUACUAAAAUUUGCAUAAUAUUCAAUAGUAUGUAUUCAUCACAGUAUAGCUCACUCACGGGUAUGCUUUAUUUAAAUUUGAGGAACCGUUCACAACAUAUUUAUACUAUUUUUACUGUAAACAAAGAAAUAAUUGAGUUAAAAAAAACAGGCAAAAACUUCAGUCUCUGACUUAUAAUUUAUCACUCAAGCUAAUUGAUUAAUGCUUUGCCAUAAAGAAAUAAAUAUUUCCUUUUGUGAAAAUAGUUCUUAGUAUUAUUUUCUAAAUCUAUUCUUUACAUUUAAAGACCCAUGCCUGGGAAAGUUCAUCAACCCCUCCACAUUCCUUCAUAGUCAAUUACUGCUUACAUGAUGCUGAUGCCUCGAUGUCCCUUCUGUAUUCGCAUAGCAGGGUAUAAUUUUAAUCAUGGACAAAAGUCAUUUUUAGGAAAAACUUAAUCCUCGAUAAGUUGAAGUUUUCCAUGAGAACCAGUAGUACUCAAUCCAUUUUGUUAUUACAACUGGAGAAGGAAUCUUUGAGAUAACUAUUAAAGAAUAAAUACCCUGAAACAUUCCUGAACAAGUUCAUUGAAAGUGAUCAGAUGUAAAAAUAUAUUAGCAUUCAGUGCUCAUUUCACUAAAGCGAUAUACAAUACCUGUGACACAACCUCCUGAUUCCCUGCUCAACAACAAGAGAAUUGAAGCCUCUGGCUGUCUGAACUUUUCACCUCCUUAAAUAAUUUUGUGUGUAUUUGCCUCUACCUGGUUUUAUUAUUUGUCUGUGUCCCUAACUCUACAGCUCCCUCUGUCUCUCACCUCCCUUGUGGCCCCCCUCCCCCACCAAAAAAAGGGUUAAAACCACUUUAUUUACUUAAGCGAUCCAUGCGCCGAUGGCCCUUGGGGCUGGGUCUGCACUCCGGCUUCUCUGAUGUGCGGAGAUUGCCUCAGGCCCUCCCCAUAGGACAGCAUUGAAUAAAUGCUUUCCUAUGGGGAUUUAACUGAUGCUUGGCUGUCCUUAUGAUUUGAGUGCCUAUAGUCAGUGGCGUCGCUGGGGGGGGGCCAGAGGGGGCCAUGGCCCCCCCCUACAUCAUGUUGUGCCCCCCCACUUGGGCCCCCCCAAAUGCUGGCAACUUGCUGGACAUGUUCUAACAUUCUAUUCUCUCGGGCUGUAACACACUGUUACAGCCCGGGGGAGGGAAUGCAGGCCAGAGGAGCUCAGUUGGAACGGUGCUGGGGACUGUCUGUGGCCAGAGGGAGCACUGACAGGCUCCCCGGGAUAGGCCCCGCCCCCAAACAAAGCCCCACCUCCUGCACAUAAGCCCACCCCUGCCGUUAAGCAGCAUGCUGCUGCUGGAAAGGCAAGAAGAUGGCUGUCUGACCCCCAGCAACAGGUAGGCUUCAUAUGCUCAGGUGUGUGUGUGUGUGUCUCUCUGUCUGUGUGUGUGUCUGUCUGCUAGUGAGGAAGCUUGUGUGUGUGUGUCUGUGUAUGGACUCAGCAGUCUGUAUGUGUGUAUGGACUCAGCAGUCUGUAUGUGUGUAUGGACUCAGCAGUGUGUAUGGACUAAGCAGUCUGUAUGUGUGUAUGGACUCAGCAGUGUGUGUAUGGACUCAGCAGUCUGUGUUUGUGUAUGGACUCAGCAGUGUGUAUGUGUGUAUGGACUCAGCAGUCUGUAUGUGUGUAUGGACUCAGCACUGUGUGUGUAUGGACUCAGCAGUCUGUAUGUGUGUAUGGACUCAGCACUGUGUGUGUAUGGUGUGUGUGUAUGGACUCAGCACAGCACUGUAUGGACUCAGCACUGUAUGUGUAUGAACUCAGCAGUGUGUUUGUGUAUGGACUCUGCAGUCUGUAUGUGUGUAUGGACUCAGCAGUGUGUGUAUGGACUCAACAGUCUGUGUUUGUGUAUGGACUCAGCAGUGUGUAUGUGUGUAUGGACUCAGCAGUCUGUAUGUGUGUAUGGACUCAGCACUGUGUGUGUGGACUCAGCACUGUGUGUGUAUGGACUCAGCAGUCUGUAUGUGUGUAUGGACUCAGCACUGUGUGUGUGUGGACUCAGCAGUCUGUAUGUGUGUGUGGACUCAGCACUGUGUGUGUAUGGACUCAGCAGUGUGUGUGUAUGGACUCAGCACUGUGUGUGUAUGGACUCAGCACUGUAUGUGUAUGAACUCAGCAGUGUGUUUGUGUAUGGACUCAGAAGUCUGUCUGUGUGUAUGCACUCAGCAGUGUGUGUGUGUGGACUCAGCAGUGUGUGUGUAUGGACUCAGCAGUCUGUAUGUGUGUAUGAACUCAGCAAUGUGUGUGUAUGGACUCAGCACUGUGUGUGUAUGGACUCAGCAGUCUGUAUGUGUGUAUGGACUCAGCAGUCUGUCUGUGUGUAUAGACUCAGCAAUGUGUGUGUAUGGACUCAGCAGUCUGUCUGUGUGUAUGGACUCAGCAGUCUGUAUGUGUGUAUGAACUCAGCAGUGUGUGUAUGGACUCAGCAGUCUGUAUGUGUGUAUGAACUCAGCAGUGUGUGUAUGGACUAAGCAGUCUGUAUGUGUGUAUGGACUCAGCAGUGUGUGUAUGGACUAAGCAGUCUGUAUGUGUGUAUGGACUCAGCAGUGUGUGUGUGUAUGGACUCAGCAGUGUGUAUGUGUGUAUGGACUCAGCACUGUGUGUGUAUGGACUCAGCAGUCUGUAUGUGUGUAUGGACUCAGCACUGUGUGUGUAUGUAUGGUGUGUGUGUAUGGACUCAGCAGUCUGUAUGUGUGUAUGGACUCAGCAGUGUGUGUAUGGACUCAUCUGUGUGUGUAUGGACUAAGCAGUCUGUUGUGUGUAUGGACUCAGUGUGUGUGAUUGUGUGUGUGGACUCAGCAGUCUGUGCUGCGUAUGGAGCAGUGUGUGUGUAUGGACUGUCUGUGUGUAUGGAGCAGUGCUGUGACUGUGCAGUGUGUGUAUGACUCAGCACUGUGUGUGUAUGGACUCAGCAGUCUGUAUGUGUAUAUGGACUCAGCACUGUGUGUGUGUGUGAACUCAGCAGUCUGUAUGUGUGUAUGAACUCAGCAGUGUGUGUGUGUGUUUGGACUCAGCAGUCUAUGUGUAUGGACUCAGCAGUCUGUGUGUAUAAACUCAACAGUGUGUGUGUGUGUAUGGACUCAGCAAUGUGUGUGUAUGGACUCAGCAGUCUGUAUGUGUGUAUAGACUCAGCAGUCUGUAUGUGUGUAUGGACUCAGCAAUUUGUGUGUGUGUGUGUGUGUGUGUGUGUGACUCAGCAGUCUGUGUGUAUGUACUCAGCAGUCUGUGUGUGUGUGUACUCAGCAGUCUGUUUGUGUAUGUACUCAGCAGUGUGUGAGUGUUUGGACUCAGCAGUGUGUGUGUGUGUAGCGACUCAGCAGUCUAUGUGUCUGUGUUUGUAUGGACUCAGCAGUCUGUGUGUGUAUGGACUCAGCAGUCUGUGUGUGUGUGUAUGGACUCAGUAGUCUAUAUGUAUGUGUAUGGACUCAGCAGUCUGUCUGUGUGUGUGUGUAUGUGUGUGUGGACUCAGCAGUCUGUAUGUAUGUGUAUGGACUCAGCAGUAUGUGUGUGUGUAUGGACUCAGUAGUCUGUGUGUGUGUGUGUAUGUACUCAGCAGUCUGUAUGUAUGUGUAUGGACUCAGCAGUGUGUGUGUAUGGACUCAGCACUGUGUGUGUAUGGACUCAGCAGUCUGUGUGUGUAUGGACUCAGCAGUCUGUAUGUGUGUAUGGACUCAGCAGUCUGUAUGUGUGUAUGGACUCAGCACUGUGUGUGUGUGGACUCAGCAGUCUGUAUGUGUGUGGACUCAGCACUGUGUGUGUGUGUAUGGACUCAGCAGUCUGUGGGCGUGUAUGGACUCAGCAGUGUGUGUGUAUGGACUCAGCACUGUGUGUGUAUGGACUCAGCAGUCUGUCUGUGUGUAUGAACUCAGCAGUGUGUGUGUAUGGACUCAGCACUGUGUGUGUGUAUGGACUCAGCACUGUGUGUGUGUAUGGACUCAGCAGUCUGUAUGUGUGUAUGGACUCAGAACUGUGUGUGUAUGUAUGGACUCAGCACUGUGUGUGUAUGGACUCAGCAGUGUGUAUGGACUCAGCAGUGUGUGUGUGGACUCAGCAGUGUGUGUGUAUAGAUUCAGCAGUCUGUAUGUGUGUAUGAACUCAGCAACGUGUGUGAAUGGACUCAGCACUGUGUGUGUAUGGACUCAGCAGUGUGUGUGUAUGGAUUCAGCAGUCUGUAUGUGUGUAUGAACUCAGCAGUCUGUGUGUGUAUGGACUCAGCAGUCUGUGUGUGUGUGUGUGUGUGUAUGGACUGUAUCUAGGGAAAUGUGUUUGUUUUUUAAUAAUCCUUGGUGGAAAAUAAUGAAUUCUCCACCAGGGAUUAUUAAAAAAAAACACAUUGUGUCUGGGGCAGGGCUUAACAUGCGGCAGGGGUGGAGUCAAACUGCGGUGAGGGCGGGGUUAAAUGUGCCCCCCUACUUUUGUCCCUGGCCCACCAUGUGCCUCCCCUAAAAAUGCAUCCUAGCGACGCCACUGCCUAUAGUGUCUCUUUAGGAUUCACUUUGAGAAUAUAAACAGGAAAAAGUGGUUAUUCUAGUGCUAGCAUACGGCAUUACAGUAGUUUUUCUGAGGAGGAGUUUGGCUGGUUGGCUGCGUAGCAGUGUUACACGUUUAAUACAAUUGCGUGUCUUUCUUAACACAUUGUAUCAUAGGUGUGAACCCCUCAUUCUGUCCUGGAACUAAAAUGUAAUUUAGAAUAAGAACAAUGUAUCUUAUUUACAGUCUGAUUUCUAAAUAUUGUUAUUAUAGUUUAAAGCCAUUACGGUGGAGCUCUGUUAUACACUCAUAUACACUAACAUAGAGCUCAUAGAGAAUAGGGACAGAGGGAUUUGGGACUGUUUGAGCUAUAAUUUAGGCUGGCUCAGCCUAUAGUCUGCACAGAUGUUUCAGUACAUAGUCCCACGAACAAAUCAAAUAAAUAAAUAUAUAUACACACACAUCUCUUAUUCAUCCACUUUUUCCUCCCUUUUUAUAUAAGCACUGUCACAGCAUUUCUAAAUGCUAAAACUACCAGAGCAGCUUUACGUAUGCAGUCUAAACAUAUAAUAGGGGAUAGUAAUUGAAUGUUAUUUUACCAUUUCACAUGUUACUCUAAAGAAUUUAAUCAGUGUUGAAAAUUUAAAUCCUCUAGUGGGUGGGAAAAGAGUUAAUAGCCUCAAUACAAAUAAUAUAUUGUAUACACUUUACAUUCACUUUCCCAUUCAGUCCAUUCUACAUUACCAUGUGUAUUUUUCCAGGCCAGUUAACCUUGAAAGCAUUGGCAGAUCGACCAGGGCAAAUUCCCCCCCAAAAGCCAGGGCAAGUUAUGUCUAGCUGGCAACAGAGGCUAAGUGAGGAUCAACCACUCUUUGUCACCAAAGGCCUGUAUCCAAAUUAAUAACACAAAGUGCCAGUGCCACCACUUGUUAAGCCUGCUACAAAUACAUGGGUAACAGAGAAUUUAAUUGGUCUGGUAGGAAUCAGGGCAUUGGUGUUGGUGUCAUAGUCAGAACUGGACCUGGCAGAAAAGCCCAAUAAAAGGUGGUGCACAACCCCCCUUUCCUCCAUAGUGGACAUGUCACUUCGAUGCUCUUCCAGGGCAGGCCAUCUGCUGAAGGACUCUCAUGUGGGAUAUAAUGCCCUGUGUUUAAUGUGGAAAAAACAGUGAUUCUAGUGCUACCAUGCUGAUAUUACAGUACUUUUUCUUAGGGGGAUGUUUGGCUGGUUGGCUACAAAAGAGGAAUAGUGUUAAAAUAGGCUAUACACAAAUAAGUCACAACAUUAACCCCUUAAGGAUGGAGCCAAAUGUACACGUUGUGAACAAAACAAAAUGUAAACAAAACCUGGCAUUUGCGCUACAUGUCUGUCCAACCGUAAUACACCUCUUUCAUAGUAAAUGCACCCACCCUUAUUAUAUAUAAUUUUAUUCAGGGGAAACAGGGCUUUCAUUUAAUAUCAAAUAUUUAGCUAUGAAACAUAAUUUAAUAUGAAAACAAUGGGAGAAAAUAAGAUUUUUUAAAAAAAAUUUAGUUCUACAUGACAUUUUAACUGUCAAUGUCAUAAUACUGUUUGCUUUUACUGCAAUAAAAUACACAUAUUUGUAUUCAGCAAAGCCUCACGUGUAAGACAGUACCCCCUAUGUACAGGUUUUAUGGCAUUUUGGGAAGUUACAGGGUCAAAUAUAGCAUGUUACAUUUGAAAUUGAAAUUCGCCAGAUUGGUUAUGUUGCCUUUGGGACUGUAUAGUAGCCCAGGAAUGAAAUUUACACCCAUAAUGGCAUACUAUUUGCAAUAGUAGACAACCCAAGGUAUUGCAAAUGGGGUAUGUCCAGUCUUUUAUAGUAGCCAUUUGGUCACAAACACUGGCCAAAGUUAGCGUUAGUAUUUGUUUGUGUGUGAAAAAUGCAAAAAAUGCCAAUUUUGGCCAGUGUUUGUGACUAAGUGGCUUCUAAAAAAGACUGGACAUACCCCGUUUGCAAUACCUUGGGUUGUCUACUAUUGCAAAUGGUAUGCCAUCAUAGGGGUAAUUUUCAUUCUUGGGCUACCAUAGGGUCUCAAAGGCAACCUAACCAAUCUGGCGAAUUUUAAUGUGAAAAAAAUGAAACACAAGCCUUAUAUUUGAUGCUGUAACUUUUGAAAACACCAUAAAACCUGUACAUGAGGGGUACUGUUGUACUCGGGAGACUUCGCUGAACACAAAUAUUUGUGUUUCAAAACAGUAAAAAGUAUCGCAGCAAUAAUAUCGUCCAUUUAAGUGCUGUUUGUGCGUGAAAAAUGCAAAAAACGUCACUUUUACUGGCGAUAUCAUCGUUGUAAUACAUUUUACUGUUUUGAAACACUAAUAUUUGUGUUCAGCGAAGUCUCCCGAGUAGAACAGUUCCCUCCAUGUACAGGUUUUAUGGUGUCUUGGAAAGUUAUAGAGUUAAAUAUAGUGCAUGGGUUGUCAGGCAGGUCCCGCUAAUUGUAAUUAAUUAAGAUACCUAAUUAUGCAAAAAUAUUACAUAAAUAUAUAUGUAGAAUUAAUAUAUGUAUAUAUAUACGUAUGUGUAUAUAUAUGUAUAUAUAUAUAUAUAAUUUUUUUAAAAUAUUUUUAUUUAUAUAUAGGUGUAUAUAUAGUGAUAUAUACGUAUAUAUUUAUGUAUAUAGAUAUAUAUAUUAUUUCGUUCUACGUGUAUUUUGAUAUAUAUAUAUAUAUAUAUAUUAAUUUCACAAUACAGUUAGAACGAAAUAACACACAUCUAUAUAUUUUUUAAUUAUUUAUUUUUAAUUAUUUUUUUAAUUUUAUUUUUUAACGUAUUUACAUAUUUAUUUUUUUUAUAUUAUAUAUAAAUAUAUAUAUAUAACAAUAAUUACAUAUAUAUUUAAUCAGUAUCAGUCUACGUGUAAUUUGAUAUUAAUAUAUAUAUAUAUAAUUAUAUAUAUAUUAAUAGUAAAAUACACCUAGACAGUGUACGUGCGUGUAUGUAUAUGUGUAUAUGUAUAUAUAAAUAUAUAUAAUUAUAUGAUCUAAGUAUAUAAUUAUUUUUUUUUACACUUUUUUUUACACUUUUAAUUUUAUUUCAUUUGAUUUCCAGCCAGCAGGGGGACCACCUGUCAUUACAGGCAGCCCCCCUGCUGUCAAUGCUGCAGCCAGCUAUCCCGGCCAUGUGAUUGUGAGGUCCUAGCAAGGACCUCACUCUCACAUGGCCAGGGGGCUUCCAGGGGGUCGGAUGUGCCGCGGGGGGCUCCCUGGGAUCCCACGCCGGCGACCAGUUAAGUAGGAAAAGACCGGAGGGCCUACUAUUACGCCCGGCGGCGUUUAGAGCCGCUUAGAAUAGGGCGUAAUAGUACACCCUCCAGUCUUAAGGGGUUAAAACCCCUGACAGGAACAGUGAAUAACAUUGAUUAUAUCGUUACAAUGACACCUGUUAAGGGAUGGGAUAUAUUAGGCAAAAAGCAAACAGUCAGUUCUUGAUUUUCAUGUGUUGUAAGCAGGAAAACUUUGAUAUAGUGAUGGCUUGACGACUGGGGCAGCGCCUCACCAAAACAACAAAUCUUGUGGGGUGUAGAUAUUUUACCUUUUAGCUGAAAGCAUCAAGGUGAAUUGUUAGUGUAGGACUUACCCAAGAGGUUUUGCCAUGAUGUGGUAGGUAAGCUUACACUUGAAUGAUCAUUAGAGUGAUACAAAACAACUUCAGUUAUUUAAAUGUGCAUAGGGAUUUGGUAUAGUGUGCAAGCUAUUUUUUUCUUUGGUUUUUAUGAAGUGGUUCUACCUUCCAAACUCAUCUACAAACAGAGUGCCAACAAUCAUUAUAUUUCGUGGCAAACCAUUUAUGAUAUUCUAGCAACGUUGGGGUACACCCUUGAAUUAUUUUAAUAAUAGUGUAGUUUUACAAGACAAUUAAUUCUGUAGAAUUCCACUUUAGUAGACAAAUACAGACACUAGUGGGUAUUCCUCCCGAUAGUGGAAUCAUUUUCAGUAGUUUUAUUUAUUUAUUUAUUUUCAUCUAGAUGUGGUGUUUAAACACGUGUUUAGUAUAAGAGUGUGGGUCACGUCCUUACAAACUGGGGAUUUUUAACCUGAUUUAUUAAAAGUGACGUUUUAAAUUCGACCAGCGUUCCAUUGGUGUUAACAUUUAUAGUACGGGAAUCUCCAACCUCUCUUUUUUCUUUUUGUCAAUCAAUAAGGGGUUAACCCCCAUGGAGGUUCCAGUUAAUUAAGGCUCCUUUCUUUCUUUUUUCAUUUCUCUCAAAUAAAUACCUACCAAACUUGGAGCAAGGAAGGACACUGGCAGGCCCGGACUGGCCAUCGGGCACACCGGGCAAAUGCCCGGUGGGCCGCGGUGGCCGUGGGGCCGAGGCCGGCAGGGGAGGUCCCAGGAUCUCCCCUGCCGGUCUAUGCAGGGCCGGCACUCUCCUAGCGCCGGCCCCGCUUUGUGCCACGACGGGCCGGUGGGGAGAUCAAGGAUCUCCCUGACCGGCCCACAUGCGGCCGCCGGCGGGCAGAGAGGGAGCCAGGCUGGAGAGAGGACCCGGCGGAGCUCUAACUUGCAGCUCCGCCGGGUUCCUCUCGCGAGAUCCGGCGCGUUGCCAUGGCAACAACCGGAUCUCGCGAGAGUGAACUCUAGCCUCACAGGCUAGAGUUCACUCACCCACGAGGACCACCAGGGAACACCGCGUGCCGGACCCCCCCCUCCCAGUCCCAGCGUGCCGGUCCCCCCCUCCCUUCCAGGCUAAAGGUAAGAAGGGGGGGGGGAAUAAUGCCUGUUUUUUUUAUUUUUUUAUUUUUUUAUUUACCCCCCCCUACACACACACACAAUAACAUUUAUACAGCACUCUCACACCCAUCACUCACAGCACUCUCUCACACAGCACUUUCACACACACAGCACUCUCUCACAGAGCACUCUCACACCCAUCACACACAGCACUCUCUCACAGCACUCUCACAGAGCACUCUCACACACACACAGCAUUCUCUCACACAGCACUCUCACACCCAUCACACUCACAGCACUCUCACAGAGCACUCUCACACACAGCACUCUCACACCCAUCUCACACAGGGCACUCUCACACGGCACUCUCACACCCAUUACUCACACCGCACCCUCACACGCACACAUACUGCACCCCUCACAUACACACAGAACCCCCCCAACACACUGCACCACACACAUACACAAUACUUCCAAAUAUAUAUAUGUGUGUGUGUGUGUGUGUAUAUAUAUAUAUAUAUACACACACACACACACACACACACAACACUCUUAAAGGACCACUCUAGCCACCCAGAACACUUCAGCUUAAUGAAGUGGUCUUGGUGCCAGGUCCUUCUAGGGUUAACCCAUUGUUUUAUAAACAUAGCAGUUUCAGAGAAACUGCUAUGUUUAUCAAUGGGUUAAGCCUUCCCCCAAAGCCUCUAGCAGCUGUCUCAUUGACCGCCGCUAGAGGCGCUUGCGUGCUUUGCACGCAAGCGUCCAUAGGAAAGCAUUAUAAAUGCUUUCCUAUGCGACCGGCUGAAUGCGAGCGCAGCUCUUGCUGCGCGUGCGCAUUCAGCCGACGGGGCGGAUCGGAGGAGGAGAGCUCCCCGCCCGGCGCUGGAAAAAGGUAAGUUUUAACCCCUUUCCAGAGCCGGGCGGGAGGGGGUCCCUGAGCCACAUAUGCAUCACAUUACACCACAAACACAACACGACUAAAACCGACCUUAUUACACAAUACCACACCACGACCAGCUCACUCUACACACACGCAAUACCACAAGCAGGCUCCAAACACAUGCACAAUACUCUUUCCUGGCCUUUUGUCUCCUGGUAUCCAUUUAUAGAGACACCAGAGACAAGUUGCAAGGAAAGACAGUGCAAGCAUGUUAUUAAAUUUGCUUGCACUGUGCAGAACAAAUACAGGACUUUUUUCUCAUGCUAGAGCUCUUCAGCAGAGCUCUGCGCAUGGUCUGCCCUGGAAGAGCAUUGAACCAACAUGCUCACUUUGAGAGGAGGCGUGUUUGUCAUUGGUGAUGACAAAACACACCUCCUAUGCCCCGCCCCCUUUUUAGUGGGCCGCUGUGUUAAAAAAAUGCCCGGGCCGAAUUUUUCUCCCAGUCCGGCCCUGGACACUGGCAUAAGGAUCAUGGCCCCCCCAACGCUCAUUGAUGCAUAUGGGGAGUGAAGACUAGCCUGUCUGGUCCGAUCACACAGAAGAGCUACUGUAACUUAAAAUAUAAGUGCUGGUCAUGAUGGAAAGAUGUCUGAAUAUAAAGUGCAUCACAGUGUGCCGUGCAUAGCUGCAGACCGGUCAGAGUGCCCAAGAUGAUCCUACAUAAGUUUAGGCUGUGGUUUUAAUGUUGUGGCUGAUCAGUGUAGUGUGUGUUUUAGUUUGCGUGUGUGUGAGAGAAAGACUGCAUUUAGGGCUAUACUGUAAGGGGGGGGGGAUACAUGUGGAUAGGUGUGGAUGGAGGGUUGGCUCUGUUCUGCGGAAUCAGUAGAGUUGUACUGUGUAAGGGAGAAUGGGCUGUGCUGCAUGUGAGGAUAGGGGUUGAAGAUUAAAAUAAAGGAAUUGGUAAACUAAUUUAUAAACUCCUCCCUUUGCCUUACCUUGGGCCAGGGAAGGAGGAAUCCUGAUAUUGGUGGUCCUGUGGUUUAGACACCUGCUCAGUGCCUAAAGCAGUACAGAUUGCUCUAUUCUGCAUGCUCUAUGGAAAGUAUCAUAUUGCUGUAGUAACCUGUGGCAACGUUUUGAUGCACUUCCAGGAGCAGUUCACCCAUCUCCCUGGGUCCUCCAGCAUUACAGAGGGCUGGACGGUGAACGUGAUCUCUGAUUUCCCCACAAGUCACGAAGCUCCCUCUGUGGGCCAGCACUCAGACACAUCCUUUGAUCUCUGUGUUUGGCCUGGGACCAUGGCCAUAUGGCACAGCAGGAAUUUAGUCAUAGCUGAAGUUGCAUGUCAAAAUGUGCUGUUUUUUUUCACUAUAUGCAUAUUUAUUAAUUUGUGUGGAUGUAUGUGCCCACCUUUUAGAAUCUGUCACAAACUUCAGUUGUGCCCCUUCUGAGUUUGGACUCUGUUCUGACCUUGCUUGAUAGUGACACUUUGAGAGCGACAAGACUGGUCGGUUGAAGUGUAUGGAUACGUACCUAUACAAUGUUUUUUUUUUACAAUAAGCACACAUGCUGAAGGUUAUGUUGAGUUGUAUUAGAGCUCAGUGUUUAGGAUUUCAGGUUACUAUCCAGACCAUGUAAAUGAAUUGAAGAUUAGUGUUGGUGAAUGCAGGGGUGUGUACGAUGUACUAGGCUUAUAUUUAGCAACAAUUUUUUAAAUAGCACACUCCUAGUGUUAUCUCUUCCAGUUACAUAUCCGUAAAUAGUUUUUUGUUGUUGUUGCCAAUUUGACAGUAGUUUUCAUUGGUGUUUAGAUGUGGUUGUAGCACUGUAGUAUAGUAUAUUUUUUUUUUUUAAAGAAUAUUGUUAGUUUUUCUGGUGAAUGGUGUUAUCUUUGUAUGUCACACUUCAUCCUAAAGGGUUUAUCAGUGUCGAAAAUGCAAAGCUGUAUUUGUCCAAGUGAGUGGAGAUAUGACUCCAGUGGGUACAGUACAUCGUGUACACUUUCAGUAGACUUUGGAAUUCAGAGUCAAAUAAAUACAAUUUGUACCUACAUUUUAGACCAUUUAGUGAUUUGUUUGAAAUAUGAAUACACAUGACUGUGUGCAAAUGCAUCAUUAUGACCUCCCAUAAGGUUAAGAUGACCCUAUCAUAUCGGAAAUACAGCGGGUCCCUGCAUCGAGCCUGUGUAUUGAUCUUGUAAAGCAAUGCAAGCAUUCAGCUAAACUUGAGACAAUGGACAAUUGUUAUUUUCUACCUGAAGCCAAGCCCUUCAAUCUAUUGGUCAUCAAAUCUGUAUCCUGCAUCCUGCUUUCCUUUUGUUCUUGUUUACUUCUUUAACAAAUCCUGUUACACUGGCUUCCGAACCUUCCACCAAAUUAUUAUAAUUUUAUUAUUUAUAUAGCGCCAUCAGAUUCUGUAGCGCUGUAGUAAGGGUGAAAGUUUAGUGGCACAGAACAAAAAAAGUCUGCUGAUCGAGGCAGUCAGAGGUAUGUGAUCAAGAUAGUUGGUUUAUGGAUUGUGCAGGAACAAUGUAGACAUUGUUCAGAAGUUGGUGGACGCCGGCUUUCACACCUGGAACGGCUUUAGGACUUCCAUCAAAUACUUCCUGCCAUUUAUAGCCCCCUAUUAGCUUAUUAACCACAAAACAAAUAUAUUGGUAUCCUGAUGUGAGAUUUCUCCUACUUAGGAUACCAAAUUAUGAUGCUGUUUAGUACAUAGCUUCCUAAUUAGGUACCCUUAUGUGGGAUUACAUAUUUAGGAUACCAAAUUUGGACAGUGGAUGUGAAAAGUGCUGUCCUUGGUGACUUUCACUGUAUUGGCUUGACAGCACUUUUCACACCCUGCACAUCGGUUUGCUAAAAGAUUGUAUUCUCCCUUUUCAUAAAAAAAAGUUUAGGCUGCUGUGCAGGGCAUAAAAAGUCCUCUUUUGGUGAUUUAAAACCACUGUAGGGCAGUAAUUGUCAUGCCCUGCAAAACCGUUUUGAAAGGAUUUUAUUCCCCCUCUUUUUUGGAAAUUGGAGACACUAUAUAGAGGCAAGCCCAUAGUUUUGCUAUGCCUUAGGCUUACUAUGCCUCUCUUUAAACCCUUUAUAUGGAGGAAUAUGCAUGUCUAUGUCUCCAAGUUACUGUGAUUUCCAAUCUUUAAAGUAAAAAGGGUGAAAUAAAUCCUGUUAGAAAAACUGUUGUGCAGUGCAGUGGUUUGAAAAUGAGUUAGCACACAAUCUUUUUUGAAAGCUCUGCAAUUGGAAAAAAUAAGAAAUUAUAAUUAUAACCUAUUAACCUUAUAGAUGUAAUUUAUACAGAAUGUGCUCACACAAAAAUACCUUUUCAUUAAAUAUAAACAACUUCCAGCACAGAGAGUCCCAGAAAUGAAUCCCAGAAACGAGCAGUCCAAAUCUCAAAAGAUAACCACUUUUUUCCAGCACUCCAGGGGUUAAGCUGUUAUCUAGGGAAAUACAAGGCUUAAAUGGUGUGAUAACAUUAGGUAAAGAGCCUCCACCAUAUGGGCAAAACGAGUAAGUUACGUGGUGCCGAUUUUUACGUAUCCAGCAUUAAGGGAAGAGGAGAAACAAGCAGCAACAUCGGCGGACGGUGGACCUGCACAAAAACUGUAACUACCCCAAGAACAGUGAGCUGGAUAAAUACAGUGACAUUUACUGUUUGAGCUAUAUAUCUUUUAUAUUUUAUUUAUUUUUAAAACGGAAAUAAAGCUGAGUAAUCCUUGAUUACCUCCGGAGUAAUUAAUCUCUAUAUUGUGGUUUAUAUACAAAGUGGAUAGAAGUCAUUAUAACCAAAGUGUAACAGAAUAAGGUGAGAGCUCCACAUAGGGUGCAUAUGGUGUAGGCUCUUUACCUAAUGUUAUAACCCCAUUUAAGCCUUGCAUUUCCCUAGAGAACAGCUUAACCCCUGGAGUGCUGGAAAAGAAAACAAGUGGUUAUCUUUUGAGAUUUGGACUGCUCAUUUCUGGGACUCUCUGUGCUGGAAGUUUAUAUUUAAUGAAAAAGUAUUUUUGUGUGAGCACACAUUCUGUAUAAAUGACAUCUAUAAGGUUAAUAGGUUAUAAUUAUGAUUUCUUAUUUUUCUGUACUUUCCAAUUGGAGAGCUUUCAAAAAAGAUUGUGCGCUAACUCAUUUUCAAAUACAUUGAAAAUCUUGUUAUAUGUGUGUGUGUGUGACACACAGGGGAAGUUCGAGGAUAGCAGCACAUAUUAUAAUUAAAAAUUAAAGUGUAUAACACCUUGGAUAUAUGAAAAUGAAGGGCAUAAUACCCGGAAUAUAUAACACUUAAAGGAAAAAGCACCUCAGAUUAGUAUAUUUGCAGUGCAGUGGUUGUAAUUAUCAUCAAGGGAAGCACUUUUCAUGCCCUGCACAGCAGUAUGAAAGUGUUUUUUUUUUUUAAGAUAAUAGAGAAUGCAAACUGAUGAGCAGGAUGUGAAAAGUGCUGCCAGGCCAAUAUUGAUUUUUUUUUAAAAGUCACUUAGAACACCACUUUUCAUGUACUGCACAACAACAAAACAAAUAAAAUAAUUAAGAAAACAGUUACAAAGUGUUUGACAAGUGUUGCUAUGCCAAUGCAGUGGUUUUCACAGUGACAACAGGGUACACCUCUUCCCUCCCACAAAAAAAGCAUACAGUGCCCUAAUAUGGUAUCCUUAACCCCUUAAAAGGACCAAACUUCUGGAAUAAAAGGGAAUAAUGACAUGUCACACAUGUCAUGUGUCCUUAAGGGGUUGAAUAGGCAAUUCCACAUAAUAAUUCCAAAUUAGAAGAGCCAUGUACAAAACUUCCCUAAUUUGAAAUUCUUAGUAUUGGAAUCCCACAUCAUGGUAUCAAAUUAGGGAGCCAGCUACUAAACAGCACCUUAACUUGGUAUCCUAAGUUGGGUAACUUGAUAUCAGAAUACCAAAUUAGGGGAGCAACUUACUAGUAAGUAAUAACUGUCAAACUAAUACACUAACACAUUAAGGUGAAGAUAUACAAACCUAAAAUAUAAAUGUCAGGAUGUGAUCUAAUGUAGAUUCUUUUUUUCAAGUAAGUGCACAUAGAAGCAUGCAGUGUGGGUGUGUAUGUGUGUCCACAUGUCUGAGGACUGUAGAAUAUAUAUGUGUAUGUUGACAGGGGCUGUAGCGUGCAUGUAUAUAGGUGUGUUUGUAUCCAGGGGCAGCAGUGUGUUUAUAAAUGUAUAGGGGUUGCAUUAUGUAUUUGUAUGUAUUUGUAUUUGUAUUAGGAACUGCAGUGUGUGAAUGUUUAUAGGGGCUGUACUAUGUGUUCACAUACAGGGGCUGUUGUGUUAGUGAAUAGGGGUUACAGUAUGCAUAUUUGUAUAUAUGGUAUGUGUAUAGCAGUUGUAGUGUGGAGGGUAGUUUGUCUUUAUGGGUUUAGUAUGUGUGUAUAGGAGUAUAGUGUAUGUGCAUAGGGGUAUAUAGGGUUGUAUGUGUCUGUACAAACACAUGUGCACAGAUACAUACCAUGACACACACACACACACUGAGGAACCUGCUGGCAUGACCCAACCCAGCCCCAUGGAGACUGAGUUCAAUGCCUGUGGUGGCAGUAGAUGAUUGAUAGCUGGGGGGCAAUGUGCAAGCCGGCUGCAAGUGAUUGACAGGGGGGGGAGGAUGUGCAAGUUGAGUGUAGGUGAGUGAGACCUGGGGGGAUGAGCAGGGUGAAGGUGAGUGAUGGGCUUGCCUUCUUAUUAUUCAGCUGAGUUGCAGGAGGAGGCAGGGUUUCUUGCUAUUAGGGCUGGCCCUGGCUCCCAGCACUAGGCUCUUCAUGUGCGGUGUGUUCUCUGCCCAUUGGAGUGGUCUUGGUGCCAACUCCCACUACCCUUAACCCUGCAACUGUAAAUAUUGUAGUUUUCAUAAACUGCAAUAUUUACCUUGCAGGGUUAACUCCUCCUCUAGUGGCUGUCUAAUAGACAGCCACUAGAGGGCACUUCCGGGAUUCUAACACAGAUUUUCUGUGCCAUAACGUCGCUGGACGUCCUCACGCUAAGUGAGGACCUCCAGCGUCGCUAAAAUCCCCAUAGGAAAGCAUUGAAAACAUUUUCAAUGCUUUCCUAUGGGGAGGUCUAAUGCGCGUGCGCGGCAUUGCAAGGGACAUCGGCUCUGGAAUCAGGUAAGUCACUGAAGGGGUUUUAACCCCAUCAGCAACAUGGGAUGGAGGUGGGAGGGAGAGGGGACCUGCAGUGCCAGGAAAAUAGAUUGUUUUCCUGGAACUGGAGAGUCCCUUUAAGAGAGUGGAAGCAUGUUACAAAUGCUAUUGUAUAACUACAGCAACAGCUGUUAUUUAUUACAAAGAAGCACUAUUUUCUUUUUUUUCUUUUGGUCUGCACAAUUGCUGUUAUAGUUUCUGAGAGUAAAGAUACAUGUGUACACUAUCAAUUGGGGAAAGAGACACAUUUAUGCAACUCUCCAUUUGAUACACAAUAUAAAGUAGCACCGUUUUAAAAAUAACCGCCCAUUUCACUGAUUCUAACUGAAUGUUUAUAUACUUUUAUUUUUAGUAAUAAAGUUCACGUUUUAAACAUAUUCAUAUAUAUGCAAAUCUCUUCCAAUUUUAAUUAAUAUACAUUUUUUUUACAAUUACUUACAUUGGACGCCUAUAUUUUCAACUCUUACUUUGAUUACAUCUUCCUUGUUUGCUUGCUUUAUUUAUUUAGGCUUAGUGCAUGACUUGAGACAUGUUGUCAUCCUUUUUUGAUACAUUGCAGACCACAUUUGUUCCUAAAGGUAGUUUUUAUGCUGACAUUAUUUCCAGCUAUUAUGAUGCUAGAAUGCAAUGACUCAUUAUUUAAAUAUAAUAGCUAAUCACUUAAAUGUGUAACACCUAAACUAUAUGAUAACAUGUCAAGUGGAAUUUCCUGAUUUUGUGUGAGCAAAGUAUCCGUUUCAUUUUUAUUAUUAUUGCCAUUUAUAUAGUGCCAACAGAUUCCGUAGCGCUUUACAAUAUUACAAUAAGUUUCAUAACUAAAACAUGUUCUGUGUGUGGUAAUGUAUUCUCGGUAUCAUGAAUAGGAAAUUGUACUUCUUGGUGUAGCUCUUAUAAUAAAGAUUUUGUUUUCUAUUUUAGCAAUGUCCUCCCCAAAGAAGCUGCUUCUUAUAGAUGUGGAUUGUGGCACAGAUGAUGCUCAGGCAAUUAUGAUGGCAAUUGCUGCUCCCAGUGUGAAGAUACUUGGGAUUACCUGUGUGGGAGGUAACACUGUGCUAGAUAACGUCUGCAAAAAUGUCCUCCGUGUUCUCAAAUUGUGCAACCGUUGUGAC